rnacentral:tRNA from 1 species
CAGGGGAUAGUUUAAAUAAAAUAUUAGUUUUGGAGAUUAAUGAAGAGAUAAAUAGUCUUUCCCUUGA